GACGAACGCUGGCGGCGUGCUUAACACAUGCAAGUCGAACGGAAAGGCCCUGCUUUUGUGGGGUGCUCGAGUGGCGAACGGGUGAGUAACACGUGAGUAACCUGCCCUUGACUUUGGGAUAACUUCAGGAAACUGGGGCUAAUACCGGAUAGGAGCUCCUGCUGCAUGGUGGGGGUUGGAAAGUUUCGGCGGUUGGGGAUGGACUCGCGGCUUAUCAGCUUGUUGGUGGGGUAGUGGCUUACCCAGGCUUUGACGGGUAGCCGGCCUGUGAGGGAGACCGGCCAAAUUGGGACUGAGAUACGGCCCAGACGCCUACGGGAGGAAGCAGUGGGGAAUAUUGCACAAUGAGCGGAAGCCUGAUGCAGCAACGCCGCGUGCGGGAUGACGGCCUUCGGGUUGUAAACCGCUUUCGCAUGUGACGAAGCGUGAGUGACGGUAAUGGGUAAAGGAGCAACGGCUAACUACGU
rnacentral:rRNA from 1 species